rnacentral:rRNA from 1 species
AUACGUAGGGUGCAAGCGUUAAUCGGAAUUACUGGGCGUAAAGCGUGCGCAGGCGGUUUUGUAAGACAGAGGUGAAAUCCCCGGGCUCAACCUGGGAACUGCCAUUGUGACUGCAAGGCUGGAGGGCGGCAGAGGGGGAUGGAAUUCCGCGUGUAGCAGUGAAAUGCGUAGAUAUGCGGAGGAACACCGAUGGCGAAGGCAAUCCCCUGGGCCUGCACUGACGCUCAUGCACGAAAGCGUGGGGAGCAAACAGGAUUAGAUACCCUGGUAGUCCACGCCCUAAACGAUGUCAACUGGUUGUUGGGGAUUUAUUUUCUCAGUAACGAAGCUAACACGUGAAGUUGACCGCCUGGGGAGUACGGCCGCAAGGUUAAAACUCAAAUGAAUUGACGGGG